GUCUAUGGCCAUACCACCCUGAACGCGCCUGAUCUCAUCUGAUUUCAGAAGCUAAGCAGGGUUGGGCCUGUUAGUACUUGGAUGGGAGAAAUACCAUGCUAAAUAAC
rnacentral:rRNA from 1 species